UGCAGUCGAACGGAACUUUUCGGAGUUCAGUGGCGGACGGGUGAGUAAUGCGUGAGAAUCUGGCUUCAGGUUCGGGACAACCAUUGGAAACGAUGGCUAAUACCGAAUGUGCCGCAGGGUGAAAGAUUAAUCGCCUGAAGAUGAGCUCGCGUCUGAUUAGCUAGUUGGUGGGGUAAGAGCCUACCAAGGCGACGAUCAGUAACUGGUCUGAGAGGAUGACCAGUCACACUGGGACUGAGACACGGCCCAGACUCCUACGGGAGGCAGCAGUGGGGAAUUUUCCGCAAUGGGCGAAAGCCUGACGGAGCAAUACCGCGUGAGGGAGGAGGGCUCUAGGGUUGUAAACCUCUUUUCUCAGGGAAGAACAAAAUGACGGUACCUGAGGAAUAAGCAUCGGCUAACUCCGUGCCAGCAGCCGCGGUAAUACGGAGGAUGCAAGCGUUAUCCGGAUUUAUUGGGCGUAAAGCGUCCGCAGGUGGCAGUUCAAGUCUGCUGUUAAAGGUCGGGGCUCAACCCUGAACAGGCAGUGGAAACUGAACAGCUAGAGUACGGUAGGGGCAGAGGGAAUUCCCAGUGUAGCGGUGAAAUGCGUAGAGAUUGGGAAGAACACCGGUGGCGAAAGCGCUCUGCUAGGCCGAAACUGACACUCAUGGACGAAAGCUAGGGGAGCGAAUGGGAUUAGAUACCCCAGUAGUCCUAGCCGUAAACGAUGGAUACUAGGCGUUGUGAGUAUCGACCCUCACAGUGUCGUAGCUAACGCGUUAAGUAUCCCGCCUGGGGGAGUACGCGCGCAAGCGUGAAACUCAAAGGAAUUGACGG
rnacentral:rRNA from 1 species